CCUACGGGGUGCAGCAGUGAGGAAUAUUGGUCAAUGGACGAGAGUCUGAACCAGCCAAGUAGCGUGAAGGAUGACUGCCCUAUGGGUUGUAAACUUCUUUUAUAUGGGAAUAAAAUGUUCCACGUGUGGGAUUUUGUAUGUACCAUAUGAAUAAGGAUCGGCUAACUCCGUGCCAGCAGCCGCGGUAAUACGGAGGAUCCGAGCGUUAUCCGGAGUUAUUGGGUUUAAAGGGGGCGUAGGUGGAUUGUUAAGUCAGUUGGAAAAGUUUGCGGCUCAACCGUAAAAUUGCCGUUGAAACUGGCGGUCUUGAGUACGGGAGAGGUGGGCGGAAUUCGUGGUGUAGCGGUGAAAUGCUUAGAUAUCACGAAGAACUCCGAUUGCGAAGGCAGUUCACUGGACUGCAACUGACACUGAGGCUCGAAAGUGUGGGUAUCAAACAGGAUUAGAUACCCGAGUAGUC
rnacentral:rRNA from 1 species